rnacentral:rRNA from 1 species
UCCUGACUGACCGAUAGUGAACCAGUACCGUGAGGGAAAGGCGAAAAGAACCCCGGCGAGGGGAGUGAAAAAGAACCUGAAACCGUGUACGUACAAGCAGUGGGAGCACGCUUAGGCGUGUGACUGCGUACCUUUUGUAUAAUGGGUCAGCGACUUAUAUUCUGUAGCAAGGUUAACCGAAUAGGGGAGCCGAAGGGAAACCGAGUCUUAACUGGGCGUUAAGUUGCAGGGUAUAGACCCGAAACCCGGUGAUCUAGCCAUGGGCAGGUUGAAGGUUGGGUAACACUAACUGGAGGACCGAACCGACUAAUGUUGAAAAAUUAGCGGAUGACUUGUGGCUGGGGGUGAAAGGCCAAUCAAACCGGGAGAUAGCUGGUUCUCCCCGAAAGCUAUUUAGGUAGCGCCUCGUGAAUUCAUCUCCGGGGGUAGAGCACUGUUUCGGCAAGGGGGUCAUCCCGACUUACCAACCCGAUGCAAACUGCGAAUACCGGAGAAUGUUAUCACGGGAGACACACGGCGGGUGCUAACGUCCGUCGUGAAGAGGGAAACAACCCAGACCGCCAGCUAAGGUCCCAAAGUCAUGGUUAAGUGGGAAACGAUGUGGGAAGGCCCAGACAGCCAGGAUGUUGGCUUAGAAGCAGCCAUCAUUUAAAGAAAGCGUAAUAGCUCACUGGUCGAGUCGGCCUGCGCGGAAGAUGUAACGGGGCUAAACCAUGCACCGAAGCUGCGGCAGCGACGCUUAUGCGUUGUUGGGUAGGGGAGCGUUCUGUAAGCCUGCGAAGGUGUGCUGUGAGGCAUGCUGGAGGUAUCAGAAGUGCGAAUGCUGACAUAAGUAACGAUAAAGCGGGUGAAAAGCCCGCUCGCCGGAAGACCAAGGGUUCCUGUCCAACGUUAAUCGGGGCAGGGUGAGUCGACCCCUAAGGCGAGGCCGAAAGGCGUAGUCGAUGGGAAACAGGUUAAUAUUCCUGUACUUGGUGUUACUGCGAAGGGGGGACGGAGAAGGCUAUGUUGGCCGGGCGACGGUUGUCCCGGUUUAAGCGUGUAGGCUGGUUUUCCAGGCAAAUCCGGAAAAUCAAGGCUGAGGCGUGAUGACGAGGCACUACGGUGCUGAAGCAACAAAUGCCCUGCUUCCAGGAAAAGCCUCUAAGCAUCAGGUAACAUCAAAUCGUACCCCAAACCGACACAGGUGGUCAGGUAGAGAAUACCAAGGCGCUUGAGAGAACUCGGGUGAAGGAACUAGGCAAAAUGGUGCCGUAACUUCGGGAGAAGGCACGCUGAUAUGUAGGUGAAGUCCCUUGCGGAUGGAGCUGA